rnacentral:rRNA from 1 species
UACGGAGGGUGCAAGCGUUGCUCGGAAUCACUGGGCGUAAAGCGACCGCAGGCGGCCUGACAAGUCGGAUGUGAAAGCCCUGGGCUCAACUCAGGAACAGCAUUCGAAACUGGCAGGCUUGAGUACGGGAGAGGGGGGUGGAAUUCCUGGUGUAGGGGUGAAAUUCGUUGAUAUCAGGAGGAACACCGGCGGCGGAAGCGGCCACCUAGCCCGCACCUGACGCUGAGGCGCGACAGCGUGGGGAGCGAACGGG